rnacentral:tRNA from 1 species
GACCCUGUAGCUCAGUGGAUUCAGAGCGCUUCCCUGCGGAGGAAGAGGCCACUGGUUCGAGUCCAGUCAGGGUCGCCA